rnacentral:rRNA from 1 species
GAUGAACGCUGGCGGCGUGCCUAAUACAUGCAAGUCGAGCGAAUGGAUUAAGAGCUUGCUCUUAUGAAGUUAGCGGCGGACGGGUGAGUAACACGUGGGUAACCUGCCCAUAAGACUGGGAUAACUCCGGGAAACCGGGACUAAUACCGGAUAACAUUUUGAACCGCAUGGUUCGAAAUUGAAAGGCGGCUUCGGCUGUCACUUAUGGAUGGACCCGCGUCGCAUUAGCUAGUUGGUGAGGUAACGGCUCACCAAGGCAACGAUGCGUAGCCGACCUGAGAGGGUGACCGGCCACACUGGGACCGAGACACGGCCCAGACUCCUACGGGAGGCAGCAGUAGGGAAUCUUCCGCAAUGGACGAAAGUCUGACGGAGCAACGCCGCGUGAGUGAUGAAGGCUUUCGGGCCGUAAAACUCUGUUGUUAGGGAAGAACAAGUGCUAGUUGAAUAAGCUGGCACCUUGACGGUACCUAACCAGAAAGCCACGGCUAACUACGUGCCAGCCGCCGCGGUAA